ACGAGUGGCGAACGGGUGAGUAAUACAUCGGAACGUGUCCGCUCGUGGGGGACAACCAGCCGAAAGGUUGGCUAAUACCGCAUGAGUUCUACGGAAGAAAGAGGGGGACCCGCAAGGGCCUCUCGCGAGCGGAGCGGCCGAUGACUGAUUAGCCAGUUGGUGAGGUAACGGCUCACCAAAGCAACGAUCAGUAGCUGGUCUGAGAGGACGACCAGCCACACUGGGACUGAGACACGGCCCAGACUCCUACGGGAGGCAGCAGUGGGGAAUUUUGGACAAUGGGCGCAAGCCUGAUCCAGCUAUUCCGCGUGUGGGAUGAAGGCCCUCGGGUUGUAAACCACUUUUGUAGAGAACGAAAAGACACCAUCGAAUAAAUGGUGUUGCUGACGGUACUCUAAGAAUAAGCACCGGCUAACUACGUGCCAGCAGCCGCGGUAAUACGUAGGGUGCGAGCGUUAAUCGGAAUUACUGGGCGUAAAGGGUGCGCAGGCGGUUGAGUAAGACAGAUGUGAAAUCCCCGAGCUUAACUCGGGAAUGGCAUAUGUGACUGCUCGACUAGAGUGUGUCAGAGGGAGGUGGAAUUCCACGUGUAGCAGUGAAAUGCGUAGAUAUGUGGAAGAACACCGAUGGCGAAGGCAGCCUCCUGGGACAUAACUGACGCUCAGGCACGAAAGCGUGGGGAGCAAACA
rnacentral:rRNA from 1 species